UUUAGAAUGUAAAGCUCCUUGGUUAGAGUUUAUUUCAAAAAAAAAAAAAAAGAGAAUUUGUGAUCAUCAAUCCUUAUGUUAAAAGCAAAUCAAUCCUUGUGAUUUUUGCUGUUAAACAAUCCUUUUCCUGAGCCUUCGAGUCUUCAUCUGCAAAACCAUGCACAAGAAGGGUUAAACGUUGUCCUUAUGCCCGUCCCCUUGUUAUUUGUGCCACCCUAAAGCCCAAUCCUAAAUUUAGUUUAUAUGAAUUUUCAUGCCUAC
rnacentral:misc_RNA from 1 species